GAGAGAGAGAGAGAGAGAGAGAGAGAGACAGAGAGAGCGACAGAGAGAGAGACAGAGCGAGAGAGAGAGAGAGAGAGAGAGAGAGAGAGAGAGAGAGAGUGUGUGUGGAGGGAGAGAUUAGCCUACUGCUGCUGUGACUGCUGCUCUACCAGAAACAGGGUGACAGCUAGGAAGAUAAUGCCCCAGAAUGUGGUCCUGGAUGGGCCAGCCCCUUGGGGCUUCAGGCUCAAUGGAGGGAAGGACUUCAACCAGCCCCUGACCAUCACCAGGGUGACGCCUGGCAGCAAAGCCUCGCUGGCCAACCUGUGCCCCGGUGACAUCAUCCUGGCCAUAGAGGGUGUGAGUACAGAGUGCAUGACUCACAGCGAGGCCCAGAACAAGAUCAAAGACCCUGCCUCCCGCCUCGGCCUCAAGAUUGAGAGGCCUGAGACCAAAAUGUGGUCCCCCCAAGUCACAGAGGAUGGGAAAGCAAACCCAUUCAAGCUCAAUUUAGAGGCAGAACAACAAGACCUGGGCUACUUUGAACACAAGUUUAACGUCAGGCCUAAGCUCUUCUUACCUGCAGGCCAAAGCGAGUGCCCUCCUCCGCAAGGCCUGAUGGGAAAUGGCCAUCAGACGGUGGUCACCCUCUCCCCCCCUGACCCUCCCCUGUCUGCUAACUCCGGCACAGACCAACCCCUGGCCCCCAGUGCUCAGUAUAACUCCCCCAUUAACCUGUACUCUGAGGCCAAUGUCUCGGCCGCUCAACAGCUAGCUCAGGUCACCUCAGUAGAGGAACAGGUCCCUCUAAGUGGUAAGACACUGUCCUCCAUUAAGGAGUCUCAUGUGUACCGGAUGCUCCAGGAUGACCAGGAUAGGCCACAUGAACCACGUCAGUCAGGCUCCUUUAAGGCUCUGCAGGAACACGUGGAGACUGAUGGAGCAAAGCCGUUGAUUACUAGAAGUGUAAGAGCUCCGGUGACAAAGCAUCCUACACCUGCGGGAUCGCUACAGAAACUACCCCUCUGUGACAAGUGUGGAAACGGCAUAGUAGGCACAGUGGUGAAGGCCAGAGAAAAGUUCCGCCACCCUGGAUGUUUCGUGUGCUCCGACUGCAAAGUCAACCUGAAGCAGAGGGGCUACGUCUUUGUGGAGGGGCAGCUGUACUGCGAGACCCACGCCCGCGCCCGGACGAUACCUCCAGAGGGACACGAUGUCAUCACCGUUUACCCCACGGCUUGAGACCAGUGGACUGGGAAAUGCACAGACCUGUCCAAAUGGAGCAAGAACUGUAAUUUGCCACUCCCCUUCUCAUACAGAGUAUUUCAGGACAAAAUACAUGAUAUAUGAUAUAUAUAUAUAUAUAUAUACAAGCUGCACUGUGGAUAGAUAGGCCAUACUACAGUGGCGUUCAUCAACUUAACACCCUGAACUGAACAUAUCAAUAUCUGUGGACAUUAUGAUGCAAUUGUGAAUUUGCUUAUCACCGUCAAAAACGCAACCAUUUAUCUUUUUAAAAAGGAAUAUGUUUGUUAUGCCUUGUGAAUACCAACUGUGCCUUGUGAUUUAAAGUUUUUUUUGAAUAUGUUACCAUUGGUAAUAAAAACAGAAGACAAACAUA